GGGGAUAUAGCUCAGUGGUAGAGCACAAUGCUUACUUAGCAUGCACAAGGUCCUGGGUUCAAUCCCCAACACCUCCA
rnacentral:tRNA from 1 species